GCGUGUCUAGUUUAGUGGCAGAAUGCUCGCCUUCCAAGCGGGCGACCGGGGUUCGAUUCCCCGUAUACGCA